AAGUCUUUGGGAUUCAAGUUUCAAUUGCGGCACCUCAUUAAGUUGGUCUGUUAUUUCCUUGAUAUUCGAUGGGCUGGGCAUUUGCCCGUCUUCACCCGGCUAUUUCAUAGCCGGAUUAACUUGAUAUUGAGGUGACACAAUGGCAACAGGUACUGUGAAAUGGUUUAACGAUGCAAAAGGUUUUGGCUUUAUUACCCCUGAUGAUGGCAGCGAAGAUUUGUUCGCGCAUUUCUCCGCGAUCCAGGCAGGCGGUUUCAAAUCCCUGCAAGAAAACCAGCGUGUCAGCUUUGACGUGACCGCCGGCGCUAAAGGCAAACAGGCUUCGAACAUUCAAGCUGCGUAAACCGGCAGUAGUUCAAGAAAAAGCCCCGGCAUGUCCGGGGCUUUUUUA
rnacentral:sRNA from 1 species